CUCUUCCCAUCGCGCGGGUCCUAGCCACCGGUGUCUCCUUCUACAUCCGCCUCUGCGCCGGCUGCCACCCGCGCUCCCUCCGCCGCCGCCGCCUUGCUGCUGCUCAAAGCUGCUGCCGCCCCUUGGGCUAAAAGGUUUUCAAAUGGAACAUUUUGAUGCAUCACUUAGUACCUAUUUCAAGGCAUUGCUAGGCCCUCGAGAUACUAGAGUAAAAGGAUGGUUUCUUCUGGACAAUUAUAUACCCACAUUUAUCUGCUCUGUCAUAUAUUUACUAAUUGUAUGGCUGGGACCAAAAUACAUGAGGAAUAAACAGCCAUUCUCUUGCCGGGGGAUUUUAGUGGUGUAUAACCUUGGACUCACACUGCUGUCUCUGUAUAUGUUCUGUGAGAAUGAAGUCAGUUUAAUUAGACUCCAAGAUGGAGAGUUCAGGACUGGAGCCAGGGGAAGUGCACAGGAGUGACUCCUGGCCCCAGCACUAUGCACAUUUCUGUGUUCAAGGGACAAAACCACAGCAAGCUGUCAGAUGAUUCCCUGGUAAAGAGAAGAAAAACACUGUAUAAAGUACAGCUGUGUGCAUCUGAGUGGAUGUGGGGGGUUCUGAACACAUUGUAAUAGAAGUUAGUAACAGGAGUAUGGGAAGGCAAAUACAACUUCUUCUGUCAGGGCACACGCACCGCAGGAGAAUCAGAUAUGAAG
rnacentral:lncRNA from 1 species